ACCGCCUUAGCUCAGCGGAUAGAGCGUCCCUCUUAGAAAGGGUUGGUCGCGGGUUCAAAUCCCGCAGGUGAAA
rnacentral:tRNA from 1 species